rnacentral:rRNA from 1 species
AUGGUGCGCCGCGGGGCGCUCCCGCUGGCGCUGCUGGCCGUGCUCGCGACGCUGACGGCCGUGGCGGGGCAGGGGAAGCCGGUCACGGACAACGGCUCGGGCGGCGGGUCGGGGCCGUCCAAGUUCACGCCCAAGGACGCCUUCUACAUCGACUGCGGCGGCACGGCCGCCGCCGACACCAAGGACGGCAAGUCCUUCAAGACCGACGCGGAGGCCAACAGCCUGCUCUCCGCCAGGGACAACAUCAAGGUCGCCGACGACAAGGCCGACGUGCCGUCGCACCUCUACCGCUCCGCGCGGGUCUUCAAGGAGGAGGCCGUCUACAACUUCCCGCUCACGGCCCCCGGCUGGCACUUCAUCCGGCUCUACUUCUUCCCCAUCAAGAGCGGGGAGGCCGACCUCGCGGCGGCCACGUUCGACGUGUCCACCGCCGUUAACGUCCUUCUCCACGGCUUCACCCCCGAGGCGAAGGCGGUCAUGAAGGAGUACAUCGUCAACGCCACGGAGAACAAGCUCGAGCUCAAGUUCACCCCGCAGUCGGGCUCGGCGUUCAUCAACGCCAUCGAGGUCGUCAACGCCCCCGACGAGCUCAUCAGCAAGACGGCCCUGACGGUGUCGCCGCUAGCCGAGACAAGCGGGUUGUCAGAGGCUGCGUACCAGGUGGUGUGCCGGCUCAACGUCGGUGGCCCGCCCAUCGGCCCCGUGAACGACACGCUCGGCCGGCAGUGGGAGGACGACGGGCAGUACCUGAACCCCAAGGACGCCGGGACGGAGGUGUCGGUGCCGACGAGCGCGAUCAAGUACCCCGACGCGUUCCCGGCGACCAAGCUCGUGGCACCCACGGCGGUGUACGCGACCGCCCGCCACAUGGCUGAAUCCGGCGUCGCGAACCAGAACUUCAACGUGUCGUGGAAGGUGGACGUGGACCCGUCGUUCGACUAUCUCGUCCGCCUCUUCUUCGCCGACAUCAUAAGCACGUCCGCCAACGACCUCUACUUCAACGCGUACAUCAACGGCCGCAAGGCCAUCUCCGCCCUGGACCUCUCCACCAUCACCGGCGACCUGGCCGCGCCCUACUACAAGGACUUCGUGGUGAACUCGUCGGUCAACACCGACGGCCACAUUAUCAUCGGGGUCGGGCCGCUGGGGCAGGACACGGGCCGCAACGACGCGCUGCUCAACGGCGCGGAGGUGCUCAAGAUGAGCAACUCGGUGGGCAGCCUGGACGGCGAGUUCGGCGUGGACGGCCGGAUGGUGGACGACGGCAGCGGCACCCGCAAAGUGGUCGCUGCCGUGGGGUUCGCCAUGAUGUUCGGCGCCUUCGCCGGCCUGGGAUGCAUGGUGGUGAAGUGGCACCGGCGGCCGCAGGACUGGGACCGGCGCAACAGCUUCUCGUCGUGGCUGCUGCCCAUCCACACGGGCCAGUCCUUCUCCAACGGCAAGGGGUCCAAGAGCGGCUACACCUUCUCCUCCACCGCGGGGCUGGGCCACUUCUUCACCUUCGCGGAGAUGUCAGAGGCGACCAAGAACUUCGACGAGAGCGCCAUCAUCGGCGUGGGAGGGUUCGGCAACGUGUACGUGGGCGAGAUCAACGACCCCGACGAGGAGGGGUCCAGGAUCAAGGUGGCCAUCAAGCGCGGGAACCCGUCGUCGGAGCAGGGCAUCAACGAGUUCAACACCGAGAUCCAGAUGCUGUCCAAGCUCCGGCACCGCCACCUCGUGUCCCUCAUCGGCUACUGCGACGAGGGCGAGGAGAUGAUCCUCGUCUACGAGUUCAUGCAGCACGGGCCCUUCCGCGACCACAUCUACGGCGGCCCCGAGGGCCUGCCCACGCUCUCCUGGAAGCAGCGCCUCGAGAUCUGCAUCGGCGCCGCCAGGGGCCUCCACUACCUCCACACCGGCACCGCGCACGGGAUCAUCCACCGGGACGUCAAGACCACCAACAUCCUCCUCGACGAAAAGUUCGUGGCCAAGGUGGCCGACUUCGGCCUCUCCAAGGACGGCCCCGGGAUGAACCAGCUGCACGUCAGCACCGCCGUCAAGGGCAGCUUCGGGUACCUCGACCCGGAGUACUUCCGGUGCCAGCAGCUGACCGACAAGUCGGACGUCUACUCCUUCGGGGUGGUGCUGCUGGAGACGCUGUGCGCGCGGGCGCCCAUCGACCCGCAGCUGCCGCGCGAGCAGGUCAGCCUCGCCGAGUGGGGCCUGCAGUGGAAGCGCAAGGGCCUCAUCGAGAAGAUCAUGGACCCCAACCUCAACGGCAAGGUCAACCCGGAGUCGCUCGCCAAGUUCGCCGAGACCGCCGAGAAGUGCCUCUGCGAGUUCGGCAGCGACCGCCUCUCCAUGGGCGACGUGCUCUGGAACCUCGAGUACGCGCUGCAGCUGCAGGAGGCCAACCCGCCCGAGGGCGCCACCGACGCCGACGACGCCGACGCCUCCAUCGUCUCCUCCGCCAGCGGCGUCACCACCGUGCCCGACCAGUCCACCACCUCCGCCAACGAGCUCUUCGCGCAGCUCGCCGACAUGAAGGGGAGAUGA